GCCCUCGUAGCUCAGUUGGAUAGAGCAGCGGUUUCCUAAACCGUUUGUCGGGAGUUCGAAUCCCCCCGGGGGCACCA
rnacentral:tRNA from 2 species